AAAUAGAUACCCGGGUAGUCCACGCCGUAAACGAUGAGUGCUAAGUGUUAGAGGGUUUCCGCCCUUUAGUGCUGCAGCUAACGCAUUAAGCACUCCGCCUGGGGAGUACGGUCGCAAGACUGAAACUCAAAGGAAUUGACGGGGGCCCGCACAAGCGGUGGAGCAUGUGGUUUAAUUCGAAGCAACGCGAAGAACCUUACCAGGUCUUGACAUCCUCUGACAACUCUAGAGAUAGAGCGUUCCCCUUCGGGGGACAGAGUGACAGGUGGUGCAUGGUUGUCGUCAGCUCGUGUCGUGAGAUGUUGGGUUAAGUCCCGCAACGAGCGCAACCCUUGAUCUUAGUUGCCAGCAUUCAGUUGGGCACUCUAAGGUGACUGCCGGUGACAAACCGGAGGAAGGUGGGGAUGACGUCAAAUCAUCAUGCCCCUUAUGACCUGGGCUACACACGUGCUACAAUGGAUGGUACAAAGGGCUGCAAGACCGCGAGGUCAAGCCAAAUCCCAUAAAACCAUUCUCAGUUCGGAUUGUAGG
rnacentral:rRNA from 1 species